rnacentral:rRNA from 1 species
UAGGCGACCGGCGCACGGGUGAGUAACACGUAUCCAACCUGCCGAUGACUCGGGGAUAGCCUUUCGAAAGAAAGAUUAAUACCCGAUGGCAUAGUUCUUCCGCAUGGUAGAACUAUUAAAGAAUUUCGGUCAUCGAUGGGGAUGCGUUCCAUUAGGUUGUUGGCGGGGUAACGGCCCACCAAGCCUUCGAUGGAUAGGGGUUCUGAGAGGAAGGUCCCCCACAUUGGAACUGAGACACGGUCCAA